rnacentral:rRNA from 1 species
AGCGGCGGACGGGUGAGUAACACGUGGGCAACCUGCCUAUAAGACUGGGAUAACUUCGGGAAACCGGAGCUAAUACCGGAUACGUUCUUUUCUCGCAUGAGAGAAGAUGGAAAGACGGUUUACGCUGUCACUUAUAGAUGGGCCCGCGGCGCAUUAGCUAGUUGGUGAGGUAAUGGCUCACCAAGGCGACGAUGCGUAGCCGACCUGAGAGGGUGAUCGGCCACACUGGGACUGAGACACGGCCCAGACUCCUACGGGAGGCAGCAGUAGGGAAUCUUCCGCAAUGGACGAAAGUCUGACGGAGCAACGCCGCGUGAACGAAGAAGGCCUUCGGGUCGUAAAGUUCUGUUGUUAGGGAAGAACAAGUACCAGAGUAACUGCUGGUACCUUGACGGUACCUAACCAGAAAGCCACGGCUAACUACGUGCCAGCAGCCGCGGUAAUACGUAGGUGGCAAGCGUUGUCCGGAAUUAUUGGGCGUAAAGCGCGCGCAGGUGGUUCCUUAAGUCUGAUGUGAAAGCCCACGGCUCAACCGUGGAGGGUCAUUGGAAACUGGGGAACUUGAGUGCAGAAGAGGAAAGUGGAAUUCCAAGUGUAGCGGUGAAAUGCGUAGAGAUUUGGAGGAACACCAGUGGCGAAGGCGACUUUCUGGUCUGUAACUGACACUGAGGCGCGAAAGCGUGGGGAGCAAACA